GUGGGUUUAUUUUCUUUAUUAAAUAAAGCGUUUUAAUUUAGCGGGUUAUUAAUGCAUGACCGUAUCAACACUCGUCUAAGCGUGUAUAAAACAGGUUUAGAAGUUUACACCGUUAUCUCUGUCACGUGAAUUCCGUGCGUAGAAUCCUACAGCUUUAGUAAAUCACUUCUAGCUUAAAUUCCAACGUGGUAACAUCGUUCAUUAAAACCCACAGCCGAUGUUUAUAUAGCAGCUGAUAUGGUUUAAAAUGCCGAAUACCGUCAUCUAACAUUCAGAUAAGUAUUUUAUUUGCCAUAAUUGUUUUUUUUUAACAGUUAGAGAUUGUAUUCUACGAUUUUAAGUUCUACCUCUCAUGUACAUUGUAUUUCAUAGUUAGUGAGUUCGCUACCUUUGUUCUCUACCUUGCCUUAAUUAAAUAAAUCAGUUAGCUUUAGUAUUAUACAAUAUAAAAGUGCAUGAUUUAUUUAGUUUCCGACUGUUUAAUACAUUUGAAUAUUCUUUUACUUUUUGAAAACCCAAUUUUCUAGUUAUCUUGACACAUCAGCACGAACACGUGCCAUCAGCACGAACACGUGCUUGGUUUCUCCUAAACAGAUAGUGAUUCAACAUUGACGAUUUAUACUGUUUAUCUAUAUAUCUGGUUUAUAUUUCAAUAUGUUACGAAUUUCAAUUACUGUAGUAUCUGCCCUAUCUGAAGCAGAAUUCUGUUAUUCAUUGAAUGAAUUUAGUUGGGGUUUUUUCACCGCAUAAUAUAAAUUUUAAUGAUUUUGCGUACAUUUUAUUUCUAAUACCAAUUCUUGUGUGGUGUCAAUUAUCAUCAACUUAUUCAGUAGGUGGUUAAUAUAAGAUAAAACGAACAGUAAUGGUUAUAUACAACUUUCGUGAAAAACCCAUAUCGAACACAGACAACUGAAUUUUCUACAGGCUGGUUAUAUUUGUUUAGAAUAAGUGCCAGCUCUUUUUAGAGACUUGUUAUUAUACCUGUAAAUAAAAUGGGUAGCUUAAAUAUUUAAAGCUUUGACAAUCUUAACCUUUCGGAUGUUGGUCGUAUAAACCUCUGGUUAAAUGCCGAUUUAAAUAAAUUAGUACUACCACGCGGUCUUAGACCGUUAGUUGUGGGCGUGGUCUUUGAUAAUGUAUAAAGUAUGUAUAUAUUUGACAUUGUUGGGUAGAGCAGACUAUUUUUCACUAAUUAUCUUGCUGGGAGGCCAAAUAUUUAUAACAUUAUUUUUUUUUUCUACACUCACAUGUGAAUGAUAUUUUGUUGUAAAGUUGCAUUUGGUAAUAAGGGUUUAUCGCAACAUAAACUUGAUGUGCGAUCGGCCGUGUAAAGUAGACAUCUGCUCAGUACUAUAAAUUCUGUGUAUACCUAGCUUAUAAUUUAUUUCUUACACAAAAUUAAAUCUUUUCCGAUUAUACUCUUCGUUUUAUGUAUCACCUUUUUCAUUCCUGCCAGCUAUAAAUAAAGGAAUUGAUGUAGUUUCUGGAUAUUUUGCUACGACUGACCGCGUAUAAUUUAUAUGUUAUCAUGUGUUUAACUGUUUUCCUUGUCUUUCUAUGUAGCAUAACCAAAAGGAUUGGCAGAUCAUCGGCUCGUGAGUCUAAUCCCAUCAGUCAUCAAAGGACGAACACAUGUUGUCUUUUCUUAUGAAGAAAUUGGUCAUUCAAUCAUUAAACAAUAUGGCAUAGUGGCAUGGCAUGGUUUUUGGUUGACAGUUAACAAAGAAUUUCAAUACGCAUAUGGCGUCGAGCUGUGAGCCGGACUCCAUUCCACUGUUAAACCAUGCCAUGCCAUGCCAUGCUGCUUGCCCAACUAAAGAGUACCACAAUAAGGAGACCAUCCGUAAUAAACUUGGACAUAGUGUUAACUUUCAUCACUGUAUGAUGUUCAUAGCUGGAACAAAAGCUGUCUGCAGUAGACAUUUAACUUAUAAACAGUGUUAAAACUUGUAAUUUUUAACAGUGUUAAAAGUCGUAACUAAUAAUUGUGCAAAUGCGUAAAGUUAAAAAAUACUCCAAUAGAACAUUUAAAUAAUUUCAAAACAUGCGUAAAUGUAAAAUUUGUAUCAAUUUGCAAGGAUGCGAUCCGACAUCCGGUGGUAUGACAUUGACAAACGGAUGCAGGUUUCCUAUUUUCCCAAUGGGUUUUGGUUUUCCUGAGCGAGUCGACCACAGUUUGCAGAUUGAUUAAUUGCGUAUGUUAGACUUUUUAUUGGGCACACAAUUGUCCUUUGUCGAAAUUUAACCUAGAGAUAAAUCAAUUGUAUCAGUUUCGAGAUGAACUUGUAUGUUAUAAGAUUUUUUCCUUUUUGUGUGUGUGUGUUAAUUGACAUGUUAACCCCCCCCCCCCCUGUUCUAAUCGCCCGUCGUGACUUUAGCUCUUUCAUUUUAUUGAACUUAAUUUUGAAAGUCAUCUAUUUCACUCGUCAAAGAUUUUACUCUAAUGCAAUUUUAUUUUUUUGAGUGAGCACCGGUUUUGUUUUAUAAAUGAUUUAUACACUCUUUUUUAUUUUAACAGCCCGAGGCUUCCAAAAUUAAUCACAAAAAAAAAACAACAACAAAAAAACCCAUCCCUCAGAAAAAAGAAAAAAAAAAAAAAAAAAAAAAAAAAAAAAAAAAAGAAAAAAAAAAAAAAAAAAGAAAAAAAAAAUUGUAUUUUUUCUUCUAGGUAAGCCUCCCGUAUCUGCAACCUCGCGUUCGGUUGGCCAUCUCUUAACAUUGGUGUUAUUGGUCGGGCGCCCUUUAACCGUUAGAGGGGGGCUAGACCUAAAGGUCGGCCGUUCACCAUGUCCUUGAAUUGACUGUGUCUUAUAUGAACAGGGUUAAAAUUCAGCUUCUCGGCCAAACGGCUAUUAGUGGUCUUACGAUAGCUGCAAAAAUAGUAUGUACGUGUGGGUCCGUACAUAUUCAAAAAAAAAAAAAAUAGAUGGCUUUGCUACAAACCUCUAACAAAAUGGGUAUGUUGAAACAGACAUGUUAGCCCCCCUGUUCGAAUCUUUGUCUGCCGCUUAGCUCAGUCAAUUUUUUGGAUGGUUAUUUAUAACAUAGUAGCUUAGUUGCUACGUCCAACCCUGCAUUGUCGCUCUCCAUAUAUUCGGUUUUCCAUCUAUUCAUAUAAACAAACAUAUUUAUAUGUUUUAUCAUUAAAAAAAAAGAGCUUAAAUAGGCGUCCUAGUAGGUGACUUUCUAAACUUUCAUCAUUUUUUCUGAAAUUUGUAAUGGUGUGUGCUUAAAUAAUUAACGUAUGUAAUACAUAAUUGCCCUCAAUACACGCUAUUAUGUGCAUUUCGGUGCAAUGAAUGCUGUCCGUCAACAUCAUCUCAUUAUAUACGGAGAUCUCUGAGAGUUCACCUUCGCCUCGUUUUCUCUUUAGCUCUGAAUAUGUUAUUUUCUACUGGAUUUUCCAUGCCAUACGACUCCAUUUCCCAGACCGUAUUGUAACAGAAUUUAGCAUAUUUAGCGCUUAUUAUCAUAGUUUCAGCACCAUUGCGUUGCUUUGUAGCUGUCCAAGCAUUUUCGCUGGGAGCUGUCUUUCAUAUUUUAUUCAUUACAUUAUUUCAUAUUUUGUUUUCAUUGACAUUUAUUUGCACCAAAUGCUUAAUAAAGUCACGGCCUUAUCCCAUUCAA